GCUGCAAGUGGGGAGUCCCCAUUGCCAUGAGGGCUGUGUGCUUGGGUCUGCCCUCCAAUAAUGUUUAUGUGGGAGGAGCAUGUUAGUGCAAGACCACAUAACAAGAAGAACAGUGCAUCAACACUUCACCUGUCCGCGGUUUGAACGCCGUGGCUCACAUUAAACAUGCCGAGGUUCAUCAGGAGUUUCACUUAGACCGAAUGUUUGCAACCGUUCACGUGGAGCCAAUGCAAGCAACAGGAAGUUUUUUCUUUUGUUUUUUUCGUUUUUACUUGUUUUCUGCCCUGAACCCCACUCUGUAGCACAGUGGCUUGUGUGCAGGUGCUUUCAUGCACACUGUGACGCCCAUCAUCGCGUCCAAUUAACCCCACAGCGCAUCCUUCCAAGAAAGUUAAGGGGCGGAUCCAGCGAGACAGCCGCGUGGAUACCUCUUUAAAAGGCAUGUUGCUAUCACAUGCUUCGGCACGGAAAGUAGGAUGAGGAUGUUCUUGUGGUCGUUAUGUAAACCAUAUUUGUCACUUACGAUUUAAACGAACGCGGGGAGACUUUUUUUUGUUGCUGAGGAUUUCUUCAAUUUGCGCGGAGGGAGGGGAGAGGACGGAGAAAGGGGGGUGCAGCCCACCCAGUCUGUCAGCGCUGCAGUCAAUCUAUGGUGUGGUGUUGUGUUUUGUGCUGCUAGUUGUUGUUCGGGCUGUGCGCGUUGUUAACGCCAAAGGGACGGACACAGACGACGUGUGUGCGGGCUGUUGAAACGCCAAUUCUCGAGGUUUGCUGCCGUGCUGCCGUCGGGAGAGUGAAUGGGAUAAGAAAAACAGCCAGAGCAAAGCCAGCUAGUCUCUCGGAAAAGAGUGCAGUCUCUUCUUGCGAGAAGAGAGUUGUUUGCCUCGUUCUCCCCUCUUAUUUUCUCUCUUCUCGCCGUAUUUUUUUUAAGGAGUUCCUUCGAGUGGAGAAACAUCGGCGAUAUUCGUGCUCAUUUCCUCCACUUGAUCUGCAUCGGUUCGCCACUCGGAUGAGGCUGACUUGUCUUACCUAGCGAUUUGGGGGGGGGGAAAGAAAAAGAGGAAGAAGAAGUGGUCCUCACACCAGCGAAUCUUUUUAAAAUUUUGUUUUUUAGACGAGGUAGUCCCUGCUACAGAGGACCUAGGUUACGCUCUCCCAGUUACGGAGCUCUGCCAUCGCACCAGUCCGGC
ensembl:lncRNA